GGAGCAGAGUGCCUGGUGGGGCAUGGUUGUGUUCAGCUCGUGUCGUGAGAUGUUGGGUUAAGUCCCGCAACGAGGGCAACCCUUGAUUUUAGUUGCCAUCAUUCAGUUGGCCAUUUUAAGGUGACUGCCGGGGCCAAACCGGAGGAAGGUGGGGAGGACGUCAAAUCUUCAUCCGGCUUAUGCCUUGGGUAACCCACAUGUUCCAAUGGCCGGUACAAAGAGCGGCAAGA
rnacentral:rRNA from 1 species